CAAAAUCACACUCUAACAUAUACUUAUGACUAUUGGUAUUUUUUUCCAAUUUAAGCCAUUUUACUCGUUUUCACUUAAAACCAAGUAGCAUAAGUUGUUUAACAUAAUUUAAAACCUCAUGUUCUAUCAUAAAACACCAAAAUACACAAAUUUCAGCCAUGGGUAUUUUUCCAAAUAUGAACCCUAGGUUGAAUUAUUGCUAGAAUAAACUUAAUCAAGUUACCGGGACUCCAAAAACGUAAAGAUCAUUAAAAACGGGGCUUGGAAUCACUUACUAUGAAACUUGAAAGUUGAAGAAACCCCAGCUAUGGAGGAGAGCAAAAAUCGCCAGAAACUAAUUGAGAAGAUAACCAUUUUUGUGUUAUUUUUCCCUUUUUAAUUCAUUUAAUAUCCAAAUGACCAAAUUACCCCUCCUUACUAAACUUUCAAAAAUUCCUUCCAUGUCCUAAUUUUUGUCCAUGAACUUAAAAUUGGUCAAAUUGUUAUUUAAACCCUCCUAAUUAAUAUUCCAAAGUAAUUUCAUACUAAAAACUUCUAGAAUGCAAGUUUUGCAAAUUAUUCGAUUUAGUCCCUAACCUCAACUUAAGCACUUUAUGCAUAGAAUUUCAUCACGAAAUUUUCACACAAUCAUGCAAUCAUACCAUGAACCUCAAAAUAAUAAUAAACUAAAUUUUUCUACCUCAAAUUUGUGGUUUCGCAACCACUAUUCCGUUUAGGCCCUAUUUCGGGAUGUUACAUUUCUUCCCCCUUUUAGGGAUUUUCGUCCCGAAAAUCUUACCUGUGAAAAGAUUUGGGUACUGUUUUCGCAUAGCCUCUUCGGGUUCCCAUGUAGCUUUAUCUACCCCGUGUCUAUUCCAUAGUACUUUCACAAGUGCAAUACUUUUAUUCCUUAAUUGUUUACCUCUCGAGCUAGAAUCUUUACCGGUUCUUCACCGUAAGUCAUGUCUGGCUGAAUCUCAACCUCUGUUUGAGAAAUCACAUGUGACGGAUCUGAACGAUAACGACGUAGCAUAGACACAUGAAAUACAUUAUGAAUCUUCUCUAACUCAAUCGGCAAAGCUAACCGAUAUGCUAAUGGUCCGACUCUCUCAAUUACUUCAAACGGUCCAAUAAAACGUGGACUUAGUUUGCCUUUCUUGCCAAAUCUGAGAACUUUCUUCCACGGGGAUACUUUCAAAAAAACUUUGUCACCAACUUGAUAUUCGAUCUCUUUUCUUUUUAAAUCUGCAUACGACUUCUGCCUGUCUGAAGCUGCUUUUAAACAAUUUCUGAUAACUUUCACUUUUUCUUCUGUUUCUUUAACUAAAUCAACCCCGUAAAUCUGGCUUUCUUUAAGCUCUGUCCAAUAUAAAGGUGUACGACAUUUACGUCCAUACAAAGCUUCAUAAGGUGUCAUCUUCAAACUUGACUGGUAACUAUUAUUAUAGGCAAACUCUACCAAUGGUAAGUAUUUUUCCCAACUACCUUGAAAUUCUAAUACACAACAUCUAAGCAUAUCUUCAAGUACCUGAAUAACUCUCUCUGACUGACCGUCGGUUUGAGGAUGGAAAGCUGUACUAAAACUCAACUUUGUGCCCAAAGCCUCUUGUAAUUUCUUUAAAAACCUUGAAGUAAAUCUUGGAUCUUUGUCUGAAAUGAUCGAUAAUGGUACCCCAUGUAGCCUGACUAUCUCUGAAAUAUACAACUCGGCCAACUUGUCAAGUGAAUAACCCAUAGGAACUGGGAUAAAAUAAGCCGACUUCGUUAACUUAUCAAUCACAACCCAUACUGCAUCUUUCUUUCUCGGUGUAAACGGUAAUCCUGUCACAAAAUCCAUAGUAACUCGAUCCCAUUUCCAUUUCGGAACUAGCAUAGGCUGCAAUAAUCCUGAGGGUACCUGAUGUUCGGCCUUUACCUGUUGACAGAUCAAGCAUCUAGAAAUAAACUUUGAAAUAUCUCUUUUCAUUCCUACCCACCAAUACAAUUUCUUCAAAUCAUUAUACAUUUUUGUACUGCCUGGAUGAAUAGAUAAAGGACUGCUAUGUGCUUCCUGUAAAAUCUUCCGAAUAAGCUCAUCAUUCUUUGGUACAUAUAUUCUGUCUCUAAACAUCAAACAAUCAUCAGAACCAAUCCAGAAAUCUGAUUCUAUGCCUGACUCACAUUGAACUCUUUUAGCUUGUAACUCAUUAUCAUCUUUCUGAGCUUCACAAAUCUCUUCAAGAAAUACCGAUUUAGCUCUCAAUUCAGCUAAAAUAGAACCAUCAUCUGACAUGGCUAAAUUGGUAUUCAAAGCUCGCAAUGUAAAUAAAAGUUUCCUACUUAAAGCUUCAGCAACUAUAUUUGCCUUACCUAGGUGAUAAUCAAUCACUAACUCAUAAUCUUUAAGCAAUUCCAACCAUCUUCUUUGCCUCAAAUUCAAAUCUUUUUGAGUCAUCAAGUAUUUCAAGCUUUUAUGAUCGGUAAAUAUCCGGCACCUUUCACCAUACAAAUAAUGUCUCCAAAUCUUCAAUGCAAAUACAAUAGCAGCUAGCUCUAAAUCAUGUGUCGGAUAAUUUUUUUCAUAUGGCAUCAAUUGUCUAGAGGCAUAAGCAAUUACCUUUCCUUCCUGCAUGAGUACACAACCGAGCCCAUUCAAGGAUGCAUCAUUGUAAAUCACAAAUUCUUUACUCGGUUCCGGCUGUACUAAGAUAGGAGCUUCCGUCAACAAUGCCUUUAACUUGUCAAAACUUUGUUGGCACUUUUCAGUCCAUUCAAACUUAACAUCCUUCCGUAGCAGUCUCGUCAACGGAGUAGCUAUCAUGGAAAAUCCCUCUACAAAUCGUCUAUAAUAUCCGGCAAGACCAAGAAAACUUCUAACUUCUGAUACAUUUCUAGGAGGCUUCCAAUCAACAAUGGCUGAAAUCUUGCUCGUAUCAACCUUAAUACCUUCACCUGAGACAAUAUGUCCAAGAAAACCAACUUCUCGUAACCAGAACUCACUUUUGCUGAACUUGGCAUACAACUGAUUAUCUCUCAGAAUUUGUAAAACUGUUCUCAAAUGCUCUGCAUGCUCAGUCUCAUCAUGAGAAUAAAUCAAAAUAUCAUCAAUGAACACAACUACAAACUUAUCUAAGUACGAUCUGAAAAUUCGGUUCAUUAAGUCCAUGAAAAUGGCAGGAGCAUUAGUCAAGCCAAAUGGCAUCAUAAGGAAUUCAUAAUGACCAUACCUAGUUCGGAAAGCAGUCUUCAGGACAUCUGACUCUUUAACUCGCAACUGAUAGUAUCCAGAUCUCAAAUCUAUCUUGGAAAACACAGUAGCUCCCUUCAAUUGAUCAAACAAAUCAUCAAUUCUAGGCAAUGGAUACUUGUUCUUUACUGUUACCUUGUUAAGUUGCCGAUAAUUUAUGCACAAUCUCAUCGAUCCGUCUUUCUUUUUCACAAAUAGCACUGGUGCACCCCAUGGUGAACUACUGGGUCUUACCAAGCCUUUAUCUAUUAAUUCCUGCAACUGAGCUUUCAAUUCUUUCAAUUCCAACGGAGCCAUUCUAUAAGGAGCAAUAGAAAUGGGUGUGGUACCUGGAAUCAACUCAAUACCAAACUCAAGUUCUCUAAUAGGAGGCAAACCUGGUAGUUCUUCCGGAAACACAUCGGGAAACUCACAUACUACAGGCACUGAUUCAAUUUUCAAUUCUGGAUCUUUAGUGUUCAACACAAAAGCAAGAUAAGCUUCAUACCCUUUUCUCAAACAUUUCUGAGCAGACAUAACAGAAAUUAUGGGAAAUAAACUAUCUGACUCUUCUGAAUUAACCCGAAGAAUUUCACCAUUUUCACACUUUAACUCAAUGAAUUUCUUUCCACAAUUCAGUAUCACAUCAUGUGUAGUCAACCAAUCCAUACCAAGAAUCACAUCAUACUCAUCAAAUGGCAAUAGCAUGAGAUCAGCCGGAAAACAGUAGCCUCUAAUCAUUAAAGGACAAUUUCUACAUACUUUAUCUACUAAUACAUGCUUGCCUAAUGGAUUCGAUACUUUAAUCACAAAUUCUGUAGAUUCUAUAGGCAUACUUAUACUAGGCAUCAAUUUCAUACAAACAUAAGAAUGAGUCGAACCCGGAUCAAUCAAAGCAAUGACAUUAAUAUCAUGUAGAGAAAAUGUACCCGUAAUCACAUCGGGGGAGGAUGCCUCUUCGCGUGCACGAAUAGCAUAAGUCCUUGCAGGGGCUCUAACAUCUGGUCUCACUGCCGAAUCUCUAGAGGUACCUCUGUUACUUGCUCCUACUCCCGGUUGCCUCGGUGAUCUGCCUCUAGUAGGAGCAUUUCCGGAUCUAGCACUCUGUGUUACUUCUUGACUAACCACUUCUGGACAUUCUCGUACAAAAUGAUCUGGAGAACCACAUUUAUAGCAAACAUUUUCGCCUGCCCGACAAGGACCAUAAUGAAGUCUACCACACCGUGGACACCCUGAUCUACCCUGUCUAACAUUACCUACACUCGUAGUCGAGGUGGUCUGAGCCUUCGGAUCCUUAAAUCUGCUACCUCUAUUCUGACUAGAUUGCCCUGCCGAAAAGCUAGAUCUGGUACAAAACUCUUUGGGCCUCUUGGAUGUAGCCUGAAAUGAUCUGCUCAUUUGUCUCUUCUUUGUAUCUUGUGUCUCUGUCUCAACUUUGCCUUUUCUUUUUAACAGCUCCUCUGCCUUACAGGCUCUCUCAACUAAAAUAACGAACUCUUUUAUUUCUAGGACACCCACUGACAGUCGGAUAUCAUCAUUUAAACCAUCCUCAAACCUUUUACACAUGAUAGCCUCUGUAGACACACAUUCUCGAGCAUAUUUACUAAGCCUGACAAAUUCGCGCUCAUAAUCGGUCACUGUCAUAGUACCUUGUUUCAAUUCCAGGAAUUCCUUUCUCUUCUGGUCAAUAAACCUCUUACUGAUGUUCUUUUUAUGAAAUUCCUCCUGAAAGAAAUCCCAAGUGACCCUCUCCUUUGGUACAACUGAUACAAGUGUCUUCCACCAGUAGUAGGCUGAGUCUCUAAGAAGUGAUACUACACAUUUCAUACAUUCCUUGGGUGUACAAGAUAAUUCGUUAAAGACUCUGAUAGUAUUUUCUAACCAAAAUUCUGCUCUUUCUGCAUCAUCAUCUUUUGUUGCUCGGAACUCUUCUGCCCCUUGUUUCCUGAUUCUAUCAACUGGUGGCUUUUCUCUUACCACUGUACCUGUGACUGAGGAAGCUUGAGCUACAUGGGUAGCCUGAGAAUCAUGAGGGGGUGGAGGUCUAACUGCCGGAUUCGUACGAAUGAACUCGGCAAACAAAUCAUUCAAAGCUCGGAAGAGAGCUUCUCGAGUCACUCCUUUCUGAUCAACUAUUACUGGCCUAUUCUCAGAUGGCGCUGCCCCUUCUAUUGGAGCAGUCGCAUUACUUUCUACAUCAUCAUCACCAGCUCGUCCGGGAUCCAUUACUAUAAAACAAAAUAUUUAAAAAUCGUCAAGAGUCGUCACACUAUCAAAAUACAAGUAUGGCAUGUAUAGCUAGACUUUUUCUCACACUAACUAUUCCGAGAACCGACUAAACCUACUCUGAUACCAAUAAAUGUAACACCCCCACACUCGAAACCAUCACCGGAGUCAAGCUUGAGGUAUUACUAAACUUAUCUUACCUUUUAAACAACUCUAAACCACUUAUUUUAAUUUUUAGAAUAAACUGUUUUUCUGCAUCAUGGUUGCUUAAAAAUCUAUUUCUCGAGUUUCAAAACUCAAAAUUUAGAUCCGUAAAUUUUUCCUGAAACUAGACUCAUAUAUCUAUCUACUAAUUAUUUUCUAGAAUUUUUUACUUGGCCAAUUAGUACAGUUUAUUAGUUAAAGUUUCCCCUGUUUCAAAACUCGACUGCACUGACCUCUUCUUACUACGAACCAUGUUUCUUCCUGUAAAAAAUUCAUAUGACUAAGUUGUUUAUUUCUCUCAAAACUAGAUUCAACAAGGAUUAUAACCAUAUAAAUUACACUUUCUAAUUAGUUUUUUACAAUUUAUGGUGAAUUUCCAAAGUUGAAAUAGGGGAUCCAGAAAUCGCUCUGAUCCUGUUUCACUAAAACUCCGAUAUCUCAUAAAAUAUAAUACCUUUACCUGUUUUGCUUAUUCCAUAAGAAAAUAUACAUAAUAAGAUUUAAUUUAAUAUAUUAUUCAUCUUCAAACUAUGUUUCUACAAUUUUUAGUGAUUUUUUUAAAGUUACGUCAUUUCUGUUACUUGAAUCUGCUUUUAGGUUACUUUCACAUUUUUCAUAAUUUUCAUGUGAUAAUCAUCAUUCAAUCAUACAUAUUAAUAAACAUGUAUAUCAUCGGCUAUUUUAUUAGCUAAUCACUAGCAAGUAUUUACACAUCAUUCAUUGUUCAUAUUAUACCAAAAGUAGCUAAGUUUCUAUACAUGCCAUACCCAAAACAAAACGUCUAGUUAUACCGAGUUAUUUCUUUGAUAGUGUGAUCGGCCUCCGACGUUUCCUUCGAUCCCCGAGUGACUAGAUAAGUACUGUAAGAAGAAAAAAAUAAAGAGAUUAAGCACUAGGCUUAGUAAGCUUACAAGCAAAUAAAUCACAACAUUCAACAUAAUGGAUAAUUAUGCAUAAUAUCAUCUAACAUCAUAAAUUUAUUUACUUCUCAAUUUCUAUCUUCUUCUUUAUUCCCUUACCUUCUUUCUUACCUGACCUUUCCUUUUUCAUAAGUAUAAUCUACUUUUCCUUUGCUGUUAAUUCACUGUAAUUUAACUCGUAUCCUGACCCGUUGAACCACUCGGAAUACUAAGGAUACCAGGGUCGUUCCUGUCUAUCAAUAUCCUGCCAAUGCCAUAUCUUUGGCAUGGACUUACAUGAAUUAUUCCUGUCUCCAAUGCCAUAUAUAAUAUGGACUUACAUGGCUCAAUCCUGUCUCCAAAGCCAUAUUUCUAAUAUGGACUUACAUGGCUCAUUUCUGUUCUGUCCUGUCAACCCUAAUAUCCUAACAUUCCUAGGGUUCAACCGGGGCUUUCUAACACUUUUCCUCUGUCACUUCACCUUAAAUUCGACUUUAAAUAUUUUCAUAACAUAAUAUAUAAAUGCUGGAAAUUGAAAAUAAUAAUGUAAAAUAAAAGAAUAUUGCAUUUAUUUACUGUAACUUACCUUGAUACAAAAUGUGACUAAACUUUACAAUUUAGUCAUUUACUUUUUCUUUUCCCCGAUCUACUCCCGAAUUUCGUUCUUCUUGAUCUAUAAUAGCAAAUUUAAAUUAUUUAAUAUUCACAUUUAUUAAAACAGUCCUUGACCCAACUUUUGCAUAAUUAUAUUUUUACCCUUAAACUUUCACAUAUUUGCACUUUUGCCCCAAGGCUCGUAAAUUAAACUUCAUCCUAUUUUCUUAUGUUUUAUGACAUGCUGAUCAUUUUUCCCUUCUAUGGCAAUAUCAAAAUCACACUCUAACAUAUACUUAUGACUAUUGGUAUUUUUUUCCAAUUUAAGCCAUUUUACUCGUUUUCACUUAAAACCGAGUAGCAUAAGUUGUUUAACAUAAUUUAAAACCUCAUAUUCUAUCAUAAAACACCAAAAUACACAAAUUUCAGCCAUGGGUAUUUUUCCAAAUAUGAACCCUAGGUUGAAUUAUUGCUAGAAUAAGCUUAAUCAAGUUACC
rnacentral:lncRNA from 1 species